AUGUAGCUUACUUUAUUCCUUAGGAAGAUUUAGGUGUGCUUUAGUGUGCACGCUGGACUGAGUUAAUUAUCACUAAGAAUGUUUCCACCAAAUUAUACUGUGCUUAAAUAUGCUUAAAAUAAAUCACUUGGGGUCAGACUCCCAAAGUUUGAACCAACACCGGCUACUUAGUCGUGUUGAAUAAAACGGCCUUUUUUCCUCCCACGGAUCAUCGCUCUGCUGGAUGUGGAGGCUGCAAAGACCCCACAGCUUGGAGAAGGUAAGAAAGCAGUGCAACAGAAGAUUACUUCUGAGGAGGCUGUAGAUACCCUGAUCAAGCAGCUUGGGUUGGUGCAGCCAUCAAACAGUGUGGAGCUACCGAAGCACCAGCAAAACACGAAAAUGGAGUCCCAGAUGGCUCCUGCUCCCGAGCAUCUGACCAAGCCAACGCUUGGAGACAGGAAGACUUUAGCUCAUCAAGUCAAGACCUUAAGAAGAAAACAAGGACACAAUACUACUGACCCCCAAAAUGUUGCUGUUAUGUUUACUGACUGUAUUACAUGUUAAUUUUCAGUUUGCCAAUAUAGAAUCCAAAUGCCUUCUGUCAGGGAGAGAAAAUUCACGCCCCUAAUAGAAGACAGUAUGAUAUUGCUUUGCCAUGCGAAAGGUUGUUUUUAUACACUUUAAAAAAGUACCAGUACCAGGAGUCAUUGCUACACGCAAAGAGACAUUUCAAAAAUGGCCUGUACGAUUAGUAAAACUACUAACAUUGCAGCAAGCAUAUUGGUAGAAAUUAACCAAGAAAUGGGUGAAUUGAGAGCCACAGUCCUACAGAAUGGCACUACUCUAUAUAUUAUUCGUUGCUCAAUCAUAAUCUUGAUGGUCAGCAAUUUCCUUUUAAAGUAUGUGUUGCUUUAAUAUGACAGAUGUCUCUCAUACUAUCGAUGGUCAAAUUAAUGAUCCGCCCUAAAAAGACAGACAAAAUCUCUCAAGCAACCUUUGAAGGCCACCCUGACUAAGAUGGCUUUCCCCUUUCCUUGGUCCCCCGAUAACGAUUCUUGUAAUCCCGUUCUGCUUGUUUGUAAUAGUUAGACUAGCCAUGCAGGCAAUGUAUACAACCUCAGCCUCUACUACAGCCCCCACUUUCUCUUUAAAAAUUAAAAAAAGUGGGGGAGAUGUUGGAGUUGUGGAGGGCCUUAUGCUCACAGAUAAGCACUAGGAGAAUCUGGAAUGUUGGCACACAGGGUUCUUGCUGCUCUAUCUGUUACCUUCCCAGAAGCCUGGGAGGGACAUGUCUGACCUUAGUGCUGUCUGUGUGGCCAGAGACCACGCCAGACCCUUUUCAUAGACUUCUUCAUCCCAGUCAACCCUCAGACAUGUUUAAGGAAGGUGUCACCUGUAGUCAACCUGUAGGACCUACCUCCGUGGAAGAUGUCACGUAUACUUUACAAAAGAGUUUCAAUGUAGCCACACCCGCUCUUUAUUUAGCUUAUUUUAUUCCCGAAAGAGACUGAUGCAUGCUUUAUUGUGCGCCUAGGGCUGAGUUAAUUAUCAGGAGGAAAGUUUUCACUAAAUUGGGCCGAGCUUAAAUAUGCCCUGCAACAAACCACUCGGGGCCGGACUCCUGAAGGUGUGUUGAAUCGAACCGCCUUCUUGCCUCCCACAGAGCGUGACUCUUCUGGUUGUGGAGAAACCUCAGAAACCUCCCGCAGUAAACAAAUGGGCUGACGUUGCUCUGAAAGUUUGGUUGCAGCAGUUUCAUACAUGAACUACCUGCAGAUCACAGAGAGGAGUGGGAUCCGGUGCAGGUGCUCUACCUGGCUCUGGCCCCUGAGGCUGAUAUUUCCAGGGGCGGCCUAAGUCUCAUCAGUCAAAAACCCAGUAAGCUGACCAAAGCCUUAGACAAGAAUUGUGAUGGCAUGCAUGUGACCUCUAGAAGCUCAAGCAAGACUGUAUUUCAGCAUGGGGCAGGGCAGGUGGCCAGCCCAAGCUGAGGGGCUACAUGCAUUGGAGUGCUUCUGGGAGAGGGAAGGUCAGUUUUCUUUAACUAUGUAUGACCCCUGAUGUGUUGACCACACUGUGGAACAAACCCUGUGCCCAGGAGUAGGCGACCAACACAAACUGGACUUGAUGGGGGUUGAACAUAAAGUUGAGUGGGUAGGGAGGUUGGGAAGGAUCUGGGAGAAGUUGGGAGAGAGGGAUGAAUAUGGUCAGAAUGCAUUGUAUCAGAUUCUUAAAGAAUUAAUAAGAAACAUUAUUUUUUAAAGGAAUAAAUAACAAUGGUCUCCAGUUACAAGGAUCUCAUGAAAUGGCAGGCUUCACAAAACUGAAAUGGAAUGGUACGGAUGCUCCAGUCAAAUAAUGUGUAAAGUUCUGCAAGAUCUCACGGGAGCCCUGGACUGAAGCAAGGCUGCCCACUGGGUGCUGCAGCAUAUCUUCCAAAAAGCAGCCAUGAAUCUGUGCUCCAUAAGGCCGUGGUAAAGUGUCACCCAUGAGGAAUCUCCACAGUGACCAAACCUUGUUGGAAUCUGGAAGACGGACCUCUCUCCAUCAUUAAGACUGAUUUGUGGCAGGGCCCGGAAAGCAGUGCUCAGCUGACAAAAGAUGACCUCCUAUGGAAGUUAAACCCUGUUCACAGGAGGACCCUGGGUGAGGCCAAGAAUUAGGGGUACACCUGCAGGGACAAAGUAGUAAGCGCCAAGAGUAGUUAAGGGAACAUGGUAACCCUAAUGCCCAGGACUCUUAGACUAUUGAAUCCAAUUCUUAGUGAUGAGUGGAAGAGAUCAUUUGCUAUGAAAAGUUUUCAGUGUCCCGGGAGACCUUCUAUGCACACAGAAACAUGCCCCCAAGCAUCAAGGUUCCAAAACAGGAGGUACCAUUGGGUCAUCCCAGCUGACAUCUUGGCAGCUCAGAACAUGGUAAGAAGUAGCUAGGCUUUCCAUUGGGAAUGUAGAGCCAAUAGAUCCCAAUGGCCAAGGGAACACUGGAGAAGAAAGAUUGGAGUGGGAGACAAGGAGGACAGAUGGGGAAAGGAGACAGCUUCUAGGUACUGAUCUCUAACACAACCACAGAAUUAUUGGUUUCCUGCAGAGAGCAUCAUGCUUGAGGCCUUAGCAGGAGUCAGUUUUGGACGGGUAAGAUGUGACAUGGAUAUGACACACAAGUGAAGUUGUUAAGUGGGCAGCUGGGCGUGUGUCUGUGACUUACCCCAAUGGUGUGGGAAGACCAUGAAGGGUACCAGCUGGAGGUAAGCAUUCCAGGGACUGAGCCAGGAUUCUGGUGACACAAAACUAGGCCAGGCUCUGUCUUCUGGUCCUCCUUGCUCACAGGCAAUGACCUACUACUGUUGAUGCUGCUUCCCAGUUCUAGUUACGCUACAGUCAAAGGAGGGGGCUGACUCAACCCCACUCACGAAUAAAGGCUAGGCAACCUCUCAGCUGGUCCUGGUCACACAGGUUAGUGUAAAGCUGCAGAGAUUCAUGGGUGGGGAUUCUGAGCAAGCGUCUCAGAACAUAGUUGAGUCCUUGGGAAAUUACGAAGGAUCUCUUGCUCAGCUACAUUGAUGGCCCUCACUGGAUUAGGACUGGUUUUCACCUCCUCCUUUUCCUUGUGCUCCCCUGAGCUUUUUGGCUAACUCUUUCCCCAGGCCUCCAUUCCGCUUUAAAUGAUGUGAUCUGCAGGGUCGUCCAGCUUUCAUGAUGUGAUCUGCAAGGUUGUCCAGCUUUCAUGGUCUGGUGUGACUUUUCCUGGAACAACGGUGCACUGGGAAUGACCAAGGGGAUUCCAGACGCAAGGCUGGAAUUGGGGAAGCGGCUUUAGUUCAUAAAUGCAGCAGGCCUAGGCAACAUCAAUCCAAAAAAUGAGCUUCAGUUGAGUUAAGCACCGCAUUUUACACCACUUCUGUCCCCUUGCCUGCUUCCUCGCCCCCACAUAGCAACCCGGAGUGACAUAUUUUGAUUGGCUAUAAUAAGCUUGUUUAGUAGAGUUUGCUAAAUUCCUCCAUAUGCAGAAGGUUUUCCUCAAGCAGAACAAUUAGCUACAGACCAUUUAUAGCGUAGAGGGGAGAAGUGAGGACCGAGGCUGCAGAUCAAACAUGGUGCUACACCCCAGGGUGUGGCCCAGCCGGUUGCAGGUGUUUCCCGUCAGCUUCUUAGACCCUUCUACUAUUUUAAUCUCAAAUCCCUUCUAGGGUCUAUCUUACCCAGAUUUUCUAUUACUGUGAGUAAACACCAUGACCAGGAGGGUUUACUUCACCUUACAGCUCUUGGGAAGUCAGGGCAGAAACCCGGAGGCAGAGACCAUGGAACAGUGCUGCUUAGCAGCUUGCUUCCAGUGGUUCAGUCAGCCUGGUUUCCUAUAGAUGCCGGGACCACCAGCCCAGGGUGGCCCCACCCACAAUGGGCCAGGCUCUCCUACCUCAAUCACUAAUUAUGAAAAUGUCCUUCAGGCUUUCCUACAACCCUAACUCACGGAGACAUUUUCUCAAUUGAUUUCCUCCUUUCAGGUGACUUCAGAUUGUCAAGCCGACAUGGGACUACCCAGCACAAGGUCAAAGAGCAUCAUCUGUCAUCCCAGGUGGUACCCAGAUACUCUGAGAAUAUAAUGGUUCCAACAUGCCUGGACAGGGCUUCUAACACAAGGGGCUGUCACUUACUCAGCAUGAGUCUCCAAAUGUUGGAGGGCAGAAUUCCUUGGUGUGUAUGUCUCAGUGUGUGUGUGUAUUUGGAUACAUCCGUGUUCUAAGGGAACGUUAGCACAUUUUUUGUCAGAUUCUGUUUUUAAGAACCUUAUAGUUUUUACAUACAUCGAAAGAUAAGUCUGGCUUAGGGAGCUCAGUCAUUACCAAUGAAAAAAAGAUAAAAGAAUGUUAACAGAAUGUUAAAAAUUAUAUGUAUGUAUAUAUGUACGUAUAUUUAUAUCUCUUUUUAAAAGUCUUCUAAAGAGAGCAAUAAAAACUAUUAGGAGAAGGAAAACAAAAACCAACAUAACAUUUUCCUAACUAUCACUCAUUUAAGACCCAACAGAAGGUUUUUGCCAUGUUUCCAGUUGGGGCUGUGGCAGUGAGGCCACAAUAAAGAUUGGGACAAGUGUGGAUAAUGUCGAAGUGUGUGUAAUGCAUAAGGAAAUGAAAAAAAGCCUACUUGUUCCUGUAGGUCGUCAAAUCCCCGAGUUUCUGCUACGCACAGUCUGCUUAGCUCCCAGAGCAGCUAGAGCAAUGACGCAGACAUCUUGCCGUCCUCCAGUUUCUAGGCUUCCUGGCGUCAAGCAAGCAUGUCCAACAGGGGUGCCCCUGGGGCUUUACACCCAGAACAAGGGAUUCAGGCCCUCAUCCUUACUAGUUAGGACUUGAAUUUAUGUUCUUACACAGUUGCCUUGGCUUUGUAACUGUCCUUCAGAAAAUGCGUUCAAAAUGCUAUAUAGCUAAAGAGCAUAAUGCAGCUCUGGAGAACAAUAUGCAAACUGAGCACAUAUUUUGAUUUUUCGGAAGUGUUGACCCUGGAGGAAUUUGACUUCUUGUUGAGUGGCUCUUAAAUACUUUUUUUUUUUUUUUUUACAGUAUAUUAAAUUUUUUUAACUAAUAUUUUCAGGGGUUUUUUUUGUUUGUUUGUUUUGUGAUAUUCAUCAGAAACAUAUUGUGAUAAGAUUGAUGAAUUUUGGCAGUUAUAGCUCUCGUAAGUAGUCAUUGGAUAAACCCUCAUAUGCAUGGAGCCAUAUAACAUCUAACUGUAUUCAUGACUCCUACGACCAUAGCAAGGGAAUCAUCUUCCUUUUUUUUAGUCUUAAGCUCAGGGGGUCCUGCAGAGACUGCUGCACCAACCCAGGACCAUGCAUGGAGAGGACCUACACCUCUUGCCCAGAUGCAGCUGAUAGGCAGCUCAGUCUCCAUGUGGGUUUCCAAGUAAGGGGAGCAGAGGCUGUCUCUGACAUGGACUCUGUCGCCUACUCUUUGAUCACUUGGCCCUGUUGAUGCAGCCUUGCCAGGCCACAGAGAAAGAGGAUCCAGGCAGUCCUGAUGAGGCUUGACAAGCUAUGCGCAGAUGGCAGAGGAGGAGACUGUCAGUGGACUAGGGGAAGGGGAUGACGGGAAGAGGCAGAGAGGGUAGGACUGGGAGGAGUUGAGGGAGGGGUCUUCAAUCAGGAUAUACAAUGAAUAAAUUGUAAAAACAUUUUUAAAAAAUCCUUCACAGGUGUCCCCAGCUGCUUAGGUUUUGGUUGAUUCCAGAUGUUGUCAACUUGAAAACCAAGAUGAUCCAUGACACCAAGUAUAAUACAAAUCUUUUUUCUUAGCAUCAUAAUCAGGGUAACAUCCCCCAAACCAUUUGGCUUGUGGCAUCCAGCUGACUAGACACUCCCAAAAGGUCAUCCUGAUAUAAUUGAUAGACUUUUGUUGAUUAUUUUAUAUUUUUAUUUAUUGUUGAUGGCAAAAAUAUAGUCUACUUGAAUUUUGUAACUAUUUGUUUAUAGUCUUAAACACAUUUGGAAUUCCUCUGGGGACCCCUUUAGAGUCACUUAGAUAUCAAAGGACUCAGAUAUUGUCCUCCUACCCCUGGAAUUAGCUUUGCUAAGAGGAGGAGAAUAGAGGGCCAGGGUAAAGGGUACGGCCAGUGUGCAGGCCCCACCAACCUAGUGGUAGGCGUGGGUAAAAAAGUUCCCUUGUCCAUAGCACCAUCAUAUUUCAGCUUGUGAGAUGAGUACCAAGCACUUCUCGUUGCUCCUUGUUUGUCUGAGAUGUUCACAGUGUGGGUACAGGCUCCAAGAUGCCACAUUAGACAAGAGAACUUAUCCCCCUGUUGUGUGAGACUUGGGAAGUAGCUCUCCUUCCCUGUGGUGAAGGAGGCAUUUGGUGGCUUUGCCGGUGUAGUCCGGAGCAGGAGCAAUAGAUUCCCGCAAGCCUUGUUUCCCCACGUGUUCCUACUCUGCAGCAUUCAUCACCUGGCAUGCAGCUACCCACAUGGGAUCUGUGUCCUGUCCAAGGGAAGGAGCACUAUUUUAGCCUGAGGAUGUCCUGAUAUGCAAGCAUCAUGUAUUUUAAAUUUAGUCCAUUUGAUCAAAGUAUUUCAGUCUCUAUCUCUAAUUCUUAGAGACUUACUUAGAAAAAGGAAAACCAAAAUGAA